UACGGAAGGGGCAAGCGUUGUUCGGAAUCAUUGGGCGUAAAGGGCGCGUAGGUGGUUCUGUAUGUCUAUCGUGAAAGCCCCCGGCUCAACUGGGGAGGGUCAUUCGAUACUGAUCGACUCGAAGACAGGAGAGGGUAGUGGAAUUCCCGGUGUAGUGGUGAAAUGCGUAGAUAUCGGGAGGAACACCAGUGGCGAAGGCGACUACCUGGCCUGUUCUUGACGCUGAGGCGCGAAAGCUAGGGGAGCAAACGGG
rnacentral:rRNA from 1 species